AUUAUAACUUCUACACCUAACUUUUUUCUUAAUCCAACAUCGAGGUCGCAAUCUAUUUUAUCAAUAUGAACUCUCCAAAAUAAUUACGCUGUUAUCCCUAAAGUAACUUAUUUUAUAAUCAUUAAUAAUUAUUCAAUUAUUCAUAAAUUAAUGAAAAAAUAAAUAUAAAAGUUUAUUAAAUUUUACUAUCACCCCAAUAAAAUAUUUUUUAAAAAUAACAUAAAUAUUUCUUUAUAAUAAUAUUUUAUAAAAAUAUAAAGAUUUAUAGGGUCUUCUCGUCUUUUAAUAAUAUUUAAGCUUUUUUACUCAAAAAUAAAAUUCAAUUAAUUUUUAUAAAAAAACAGUUAAUAUUUCAU
rnacentral:rRNA from 1 species